CGGCAACACCAGGAAGCUCUUCUGUGGCCUCGCUGCCACCAUUUUCUCUAUUAUCAUGUAUGGCUCACCUCUGUCCAUCAUGAGGUUGGUGAUUAAAACUAAGAGUGUAGAGUUCAUGCCAUUUUUCUUGUCACUUUUUGUGUUCCUGUGUGGCACUUCCUGGUUCAUCUAUGGCCUACUUGGCCAUGAUCCUUUUAUAGCUGUCCCCAAUGGAUUUGGGUGUGGUCUAGGGGCAAUACAACUGAUCCUAUACUUCAUCUAUCGCAACAACAAAGGUGCAGAACCUGCCAAGAAACCCACAUCUCAAUCUGUGGAGAUGGGUUCUGGAAAGCCCCAGCAAGAUAAACAAAUGGUGGCAAAUGGGUCACUGGACGAGCAAGUUUAAACAGCACAAACAGCUUGUACUAGGUGCUCAUGAGGCUGCAGAUCAAUCGCCCCCAUAGCAUCAAUUUGAAUCGGGGGUGGAAGUGUUUGAUACAAAGUGUUAUUGUUUAUCUUUCUAAUUUUGGAUUUACUACCAAUGAAAACGCGAAGUUAGGUAAUGAUCGUGUACAAACAAAGUAGAUGGUAAAGGAGUAUUUUUCAUGUCGGUUUGUGUUGUGACCACCUUUUUUGUCACUUUCUAUCUUCACGGAUGGAACUUACAGAAUCGUCCAAAUAUUUGGCAUAAAUGAGAGUGCACUAUUUCAAUGUGAUGUCG
rnacentral:misc_RNA from 1 species